UACAGAGGUCCCAAGCGUUGUUCGGAUUCACUGGGCGUAAAGGGUGCGCAGGCGGGUUUGCAAGCCCGAUGUGAAAGCCCCGGGCUUAACCCGGGAAUGGCAUUGGAUACUGCAGAUCUGGAGGAUCGGAGGGGGGACUGGAAUUCUUGGUGUAGCAGUGAAAUGCGUAGAUAUCAGGAGGAACACCAGUGGCGAAGGCGAGUCCCUGGACGAUACCUGACACUGAGGCACGAAAGCUAGGGGAGCAAACAGG
rnacentral:rRNA from 1 species